GCUUUGCUUGACAGAAUGAGUUUCCAGCCCAGUCUUGAUGCCUGUGUUGUUUUGUUUGCGGUUUCUCUAAGUGUCUUGGCUGACAGGGAAAUCUUCAAACAGCAAAACCUCUUUAAGAAUGGUAUCCACUUUUUCAACUCAUGGCGUAACAACAUUUUGAAAUGGCACCUCUUUUUUAUGUAUUAAGUCUUUAGGGCUUAGGAUAAUUUUUUUGGACAUUUUUAAGGAACACAAUACUCACACUAUUAAUACAAUGCCAAAUGGAAACUCAGUAUCAGAGAUAGGUAUUGUUAAGUUAUUGAUAUUCAUUAAGUGCACUCUCCAAUAUGACUCUUUCAGUUUUUUCUCUUUGAAUUUGCCUGUGAAUAUUCUAUUGGAACAUACUGCCUGUGGAGAGGGGAUGUCAAGGAGAAAUGUAACAUAUAAUUAUCUGAUCAAAAUUAUGUGUGUGUUUGUCAGGAGAGAGAACUCAAACACAUUUACUUGAAGGGAUACUGCAUUUGUAUAUUUACAUCUGAAUUUUGUUUAAUUUUAACAUAUUCCUCACUCUGUAAUAUUCUGUAAUAAAUAUUAUGAGGCCCUAAUUGUAUUCUUUCCAAAAUAAUAAUGUAAAUUAUGUUACACUCUUUAGUUCAUAUAUUUUUAUUCAACCAGUGAAUUAUCUGUACACUGUAUGCCUUUUAGUAAUUUCUUUGCUCAUUAAUCCUCAGGAAGGAGGUGGGAAAAUAUAAAGUUAUGAAACAAAAUUCUCUCACUUUUUUUGUUGAUGGCAUGGCCAAGAGAUUUGGAAAAAACCAUUAUUGACUUCUAAACACCAUCUUGUCCAUGGCAAUGAAGCAAGAGUCUCUUUCACAAUGGGACCAGUGCAGAAGGAACAGCAGAAAGAAGGAAGGCAGGUGGGUGCUGUCUACCCUCAGCACUGGCUCACCCACUGGGUGUGUAUUUGAGUGCUUAGGCCAUGUGACUUGAGAGGCACUCAUCACCAUCUCUUUCUAUACCCCAAAAUCUCCAUUUACUGGCUGAUGCUUGAAACAACUCCAAAGACUUUUAUUUCACAACUAGAAAGAAGGCUAAAGUCUCUUGGGAAUAGUAACAAUGACAUAGAUUUAGUCCAAAGUGUAGAUUACUGUAUUAGGAUUCUUUCCUUAAGGUAGAUGAUGGGGGGAAGUUUGUUUUAGGAAUAAAAGAUGAAAAGUAAAAGGAUGUGGAUAUCUUAAGGAGAAUGGAAGUAAUAGAGUGUAAAUCUGGAAAGUGAAAGGGCCUGGAAAAAGAGAGACCAGGGGUGAAAACCUAUUUUCACAGUCUAUUCAGGGCCAGUCCCACCCAUUAGGUUAGUGACCUAGAAAGAAAAGGAUGUUCCCCAGAGUUCUAAUUGUAGUAAAUGUUUGUAAUCUAUUUUCAGCAUCAAUUCCAAGCAUUUAUUUGAUGAGUUUAUUUUUCUUAAGUUUGUUCAUUUAUCUUCCUUGUUUUAAAAGAUUAAAACAUGUUGUUUCUUUAAAAAAGAAACCCUACCACCAAAAAGUGCUGGUUUCUUCCACUGUAUUCUCAGAACAUUGUUUGCAUGUAUCCUAAUUAGUGUCAUAGAGGCAGAUUUGCAUGAUGAGUCAGAACAUGAACUUUAGAAUCAGAGUUAGUUUUGAUUUCUGACUUUGUCAUCUGCAACUUGUGUGACUUUGGUUGUGUCCUUAACUUACCUCUCCCUGAGUUUUCUUGUCUGUAAACUGGUGAUAAUAAUACUAUGUCAUGAGGUUAGGGGGACUGAAUGAGACCACAUCUGCAAAGAACUUUGCACAAAGCCUGCCGUAUAUAAGCACUCAGUAAAUGAAUGGGAGCCUUGUGGUGAUGGUGAUCAUGAUGAGUUAAGUGUUUUACCACAGCGAAUAUAAAAUUCUCAAACUAAGGGACAAUGUCUUAGCUAUUUUUAUUCGCUUUGUAUAUAGCAUCAAAAUUGCAUACAGUACACAAGAGUAUAUUUAAUUAGCUAAGUCAAUAAGCAUAUAAACCACGUAAAUUAAUUGAUGGCUUUUUUUAAGUUGGUAAAAUGAGUUACAAUAAUGGAAUAUUAGCAAACAAAUGUAGUUGGAUUGAAAUACAUGAUAAUUUCAGUUGCGAAUAAAGUGUUACCAAAUAGAGGCCUUCUGGAAAUCUUAUUUGCUGAUGAGAAAACAAAUUUGAAGUUAAUAGGCUGACAUGAAACAGUAUUUCUAAGUUUGAAAAUAAUUCUUCUCAUUCAGUAAAUUAAAAAUUUCUUUGUAUAUUUUUCUUUCAUACUGUUUUUGUUGGCAAACUUUUUGGUUUUUAUUCUUAUUUUAUACAGUGGAUAUUAAAGAGUGCAAAAAAAUUUAAAGAAAUUUGGGAAAACAUCCAAUAUGAGUAUAAAAUAAAGAAAUUGAGAAUGUUUGAAAUAAUAGGGAGAUCAUGAAGAGGAAAUAAUAUCAAUCUUCAAAUAUACAUAGAAUCCUGAUGUGUCUUUCAAUCAAGAUUUUGACUGAAUAUGACAAUAAAUCCAACCCAAGCAAACUUAAUGAAAAAAAGGAAUGUUUUAGUCUAUGUAACUGAAAAGCUGUAGUGAAGAAGUUCCCCUUCAUACUUGGCUGGAUAUUUUAAGACCAAGUCACUCUUUCUUUCUGCAUUUCCUCUUCUUAUGUUGGCCCCACUUCCAACAGUUCUUGCUUCCAUUGGGCAAUAUGGUGGGCAGAGGAUCUACACCUCCAACUCUGCCAAAACUGAGUGUUUCUCUUGCUCAGUAUUUCAAAGUAAAAGUUCUGCUCUGGAUUAGGUUUCAUGCUCAUUCCUAAAUGAAUAGCUAUGAUCAUGGGAGUACGAUGAAUCCAUGUUUAAAUCAUAGGUCCACUUCUGGAGAUAGUAGCUCUCCAAAACACCAGAGCUAAAUAUACUGAAGCUUGGUGAUGGUUCUCCAGAGAAAUAUCUAGCUGUGAUUUGGAGAAAAUAAAGAGAAAGAGUAGCAAUGAUAAACUGGAAGAUGAAGUCCUUGUAUUCUGUAUUGCUCCGCAGGACACAGCUAAAAUCAAUUAGAAGAAAUAACUGUAAGGAUGAUUAUAGUUUCACAGAAAUUACCAAGAAUUUAGAACUUACAAAGAAUGUGCCCAUCUCGGAAGUUAAAGGAUUCCCAGGGAAACUUGUCUUCAAGUUCUGGCUUGGUGACUGACCAUCUGUGGUAGCCUGGACUAAAUGAUCUUUAAGAUAUUUUCUUAGAUUAUAGGUGGUUACUAGAUUUCUUCCUUCAAGUUUGGAUGAGAUAAAGAGAUCAGAUGCUAAAUUCUUCAGAGGUUAGAUGUUUAAAACAUUAUUUCCAAGGGAUCUGCUUAAUGAAAACACAGAGCAUGUAGGAAGGACCUUCCACAGAAGGAAACACACUUCACUGAAAAUUCAAACAUGGGCAACACUGAUGCUUAUGUGUUUCUUGAUAUUUAAGCUUCAGAAUGUUUCUUCUCAUUUAUUGUUUUACCAAUUCCCCAUUUAAGGAAGAUAAAGCAUGACUCUCUCCAGUUUCAUAAUAUGUAAUCUUUUAAAAUUUUUGUGCUCUGAAUUGUUAUCUAAAAAAUGCAAUUUUUUUUUCCAAAAAAAAGGAGGGGGCUCACAAAGAUGAUGUGAUAAAUUGAUUAAGAGUUACCCUUUGGUCUUUAAAUAGAUUUCUGUUCAUAAGGAUAUAAACAGGAAAUUAGGAAAUGAAAUCAGUAAUAAUUGAGCAUCAAUUACGUGCCAGGUUCUUUAUAUGAUUUGUAUCAUUUAACCCUCACAGUAUAAAACUUUCUAUUUACAUGUAAAAAACUCAACGAGGUGAGUUAACUCACCUGAGUUAAGUUAUUUAACAAAACAUAAAACUUGCCCAAGGUAAUAUGCCUCUUCAGCUGGCAGAGCCUAAAUUCAAAUCUGUAUCUUCCAUUUCUAAAACCAUUCUCACCAUGUUGUCUGUCUGAAAGAGAUGAAAAAUAUGAACCUAUUUUCUAUAAAUUCCUGAGAGUGCUAAGAAUUUCAUUAUUUCCUAUCAACUUGAUUUUUCUGUUGAUGUUCCAAUGCAGUUCCAUUAAUUGGAGUGAUGGUACUACAGGGAAAUUAAUAAAUGCAGAUUACUAAAGCAAAAGUGAAAUCAGAAGUGAGUCCAUAAUUCACUAAAAAAAUACAAAAAAUAUUGAUCGUGCAUUUUACAAUUUUGAUAAUGGCAAUUUUCUAUAGGAUUUGGUAUCUAGAAUUAUUACCUUAUAUCUUCUCUGCUCUUCAUUGAGUUGGAAUGGUCAUCUUCCCUUUCUCUGAACUUUCAAAAAUGGACCCAUUUAAGUUGAAAUAUGGUCCCAAACUAUUUUUCUUUAUUGAAGGGAAAAAGUAGCUUGUUUUGAAUUUAAACUUUGUUGUGAAUUUGCUGCAUUAAUUUCUAGCCAAAGUGUUUAUAAUAAUUCCAAAGAAAAGAACAUAUCGAAAAGCUUUUACUACUUAACAUAUUGAAGAAUUAAUUAUGAUAUUAUUUCCCUAGAAAGGUUAAUUGGAUUUCUUUCCUACAGACAAUGAAAGGUGAAUUAAAAAGAGAAAAGCCUAUUAGCACUCACUAUGGGCUGUAAAAGCUUCAGUUUUAAAAAAUAAGAACUGACACAUGAAAAGUUGUGGUUUCAUAAAAAUAAAUUAUUUUUUUGCUGUAAGAAAACUUUGAUGUAUAGGUAGAUCAGAGAAAGACUGUUGAAAGUUUUGAGGAAAGUAGGUAAGAAAAAGAACCGUCUCGACAAAUGGAAGGGACAAUGAGGUAGGAAACUUGGAGAGUCAUCUGCUUGGCAGAUGUGUGCUUUGGAGUCUUUUUGAUGGAUGUUUAUUUACCAUUUAUAUCUUAUGAUCAGUAAAUAAACUGUUGCUGCAUUACUUAUCUCACAGAAUAUUUUAAAAAGUUUACAGCUUGCUGUGGAAAGUUAAAUUCUUUUAGGAGAUUUUGGUUGAAACUCUAAGAACAACCAACAAUUCUUACCUGAUCUUGGUCUGACAAUGAACAAUGAAGGAUAAUAACAUAUUUCUUAAUUUUACAUUGAUUGGCUCAGUUAUUGAAAACCAAAAGCACACAUAUCUUCUAAGAAAUCACAAACAGUAUGGCCUAAGUAAGGAUGAAUUGUAGUAAAAUGUCUAAUAUCAAAUGUGAUAUUGCGGAGGAUAAUAAAUAGCAAGAGAAUGGAAUCUCUAUGUAGUUUUGGUUCUUCUCUGCAACUUUAAGACUAUGACCUUAGGCAAUUUACAUUACUUCCUAAUCUGCAAACUGGAGUUAUAGUUAACUAUACUGUAAGGUUGGUGUAAGAAUCAAAAGAUAUAACAUAUAUGAGUUCCCAGUAGAUAGUAGGGAUGCAAUAAAUUUUUAGUACAACUUGAUUGAAAUAAAUAAUUAGAAGGAUCCAGGGAAUAUGUGGAGAGGAUACUUGAUGAGAAACUUUCAAUAUUUAUGAUUGAUUAUUGUUUUGUCAAUAUUGAAUAUAACUAUUGCAUACAAAAUGAUACAAGCUUACAUGGUGGAAGUAACUAAGUGUUACAAUAGUUACCAAUUAGCUGUGUAGGUGUUAGGCUAGACUCAAUUAAAGAUCCUUUCUAGAUCUUACCUUUAAUUUUAAAAUUACUUUUAAAUGACCUUUAAAAAUAUACAGUAUGUAGUUGAUCCAUUCACAUUUAUUACGAAGCACUUGAUGAGUACCUAACUCUGUGCAAAACAUUGUUUUAAGCGAGGUUUCUGACCUGGGUGACUGACAACACAAAGUAAUAUAGGGAAUAUAGUCAUAUAGUCAGCCCUCUGUAUCUGCAGACUGUGCAUCCAUGGGUUCCACCAACGCUGGAUCAAAAAUAUUUUUAAAAUAUUCCAUCUUGUCAACCACAAGUCUCUUCUCCACAUCCAUGAUUUUCUUUUUUGUGGAAAGGUUCACUUGUGCCUUAUUUUAGAUUCCAGAUAUAGGUGAUAUCAUAUGGUAUUUGUCUUUCUCUUUUUGACUUACUUCACUUAGUAUGAGAGUCUCUAGUUCCAUCCAUGUUGCUGCAAAUGGCAUUAUUUUGAUCCUUUUUAUGGCUGAGUAGUAUUCCAUUGUGUAUAUAUACCAGAAUAAGCAAUGAGAUCCUGCUGUAUAGCACUGGGAACUAUAUCUAGUCACUUCUGAUGGAGGAUGAUAAUGUGAAAAAAAAGAAUGUAUACAUGCAUGUGUGACUGAGUCACCUUGCUAUACAGAAGAAAAUUGACAGAAUACUAUAAACCAGCUAUAACGGAAAAAGUAAAAAUCAAUAUUAAAAAAAUUCUGGGAGUUCCCGUCGUGGUGCAGUGGUUAACGAAUCCGACUAGGAACCAUGAGGUUGCGGGUUCAGUCCCUACCCUUGCUCAGUGGGUUAAGGAUCCGGUGUUGCUGUGAGCUGUGGUGUAGGUUGCAGACACGGCUCGGAUCUCGCAUUGCUGUGGCUCUGGCGUAGGCCGGUGGCUACAGCUCCGAUUGGACCCCUAGCCUGGGAACCUCCAUAUGCCGCGGGAGCAGCCCAAGAAAUAGC
rnacentral:lncRNA from 1 species